AUGGAGAAGCUUAAUCUUGACUUAACCUUGAAAGAUUCUCAGUUACUGACAGAAAGAAAGAAAGAAAAAAAGAAAGAAAGAAAGAAAGAAAGAAAGAAAGAAAGAAAGAGAAAAAAUAAAAUGAAAUCCAACAAGCCAUCAAAGAACUUCCUAAGAAAAAAUCCCCAGGGCCUGAUGGAUUCACCAGUGAAUUCUAUCAAACAUUCAGAGAACAGUUAACCCCAAUACUAUAUAAACUAUUUGACA
rnacentral:lncRNA from 1 species